rnacentral:rRNA from 1 species
GAUGAACGCUGGCGGCGUGCCUAAUACAUGCAAGUCGAGCGAACAGAUGAGGAGCUUGCUCCUCUGACGUUAGCGGCGGACGGGUGAGUAACACGUGGAUAACCUACCUAUAAGACUGGGAUAACUUCGGGAAACCGGAGCUAAUACCGGAUAAUAUAUUGAACCGCAUGGUUCAAUAGUGAAAGACGGUUUUGCUGUCACUUAUAGAUGGAUCCGCGCCGCAUUAGCUAGUUGGUAAGGUAACGGCUUACCAAGGCAACGAUGCGUAGCCGACCUGAGAGGGGGAUCGGCCACACUGGAACUGAGACACGGUCCAGACUCCUACGGGAGGCAGCAGUAGGGAAUCUUCCGCAAUGGGCGAAAGCCUGACGGAGCAACGCCGCGUGAGUGAUGAAGGUCUUCGGAUCGUAAAACUCUGUUAUUAGGGAAGAGCAAAUGUGUAAGUAACUAUGCACGUCUUGACGGUACCUAAUCAGAAAGCCACGGCUAACUACGUG